rnacentral:rRNA from 1 species
GAACUGAAGAGUUUGAUCAUGGCUCAGAUUGAACGCUGGCGGCAGGCCUAACACAUGCAAGUCGAGCGGAUGAAGAGAGCUUGCUCUCUGAUUCAGCGGCGGACGGGUGAGUAAUGCCUAGGAAUCUGCCUGAUAGUGGGGGACAACGUUUCGAAAGGAACGCUAAUACCGCAUACGUCCUACGGGAGAAAGCAGGGGACCUUCGGGCCUUGCGCUA